rnacentral:tRNA from 1 species
GGCGGUGUAGCUCAGUUGGCAGAGCACUCGGCUCAUAAUCGAGUAGUCGGCGGUUCGAGUCCGCCCACCGCCA